rnacentral:ribozyme from 1 species
GCCCAAUCGGUAGGUGAAACGACAGGAAAAACACAAAAGAAAUCGGGAAAAAGAAUUGUGGGGAGGGGCAUCGUUCUACGUUCGUCAUCCAAGCCCAGGAGGGUCUGUGAAAAAACAAAAAAAAAAGAUAUCCGCCCCCUCAUUCCCCUUUUUUACUUUUUUUACUUUUUUCUCUUUUUUCUCUUUUUUUCUCUUUUGUUUUGGGAUAAGAUUCU